rnacentral:rRNA from 1 species
GGAUUAGAUACCCUGGUAGUCCACGCCGUAAACGAUGUCAACUAGCCGUUGGGAGGGUUAAACCUCAAAGUGGCGCAGCUAACGCGAUAAGUUGACCGCCUGGGGAGUACGCGCGCAAGCGUAAAACUCAAAGGAAUUGACGGGGGCCCGCACAAGCGGUGGAGCAUGUGGUUUAAUUCGAUGCAACGCGAAGAACCUUACCUGGCCUUGACAUCCUCGGAACUUACUAGAGAUAGUUUGGUGCCUUCGGGAACCGAGUGACAGGUGCUGCAUGGCUGUCGUCAGCUCGUGCCG